rnacentral:rRNA from 1 species
AUUGAACGCUGGCGGCAUGCCUUACACAUGCAAGUCGAACGGUAACAGGUUAAGCUGACGAGUGGCGAACGGGUGAGUAAUGUAUCGGAACGUGCCCAGUCGUGGGGGAUAACUGCCCGAAAGAGCAGCUAAUACCGCAUACGACCUGAGGGUGAAAGCGGGGGAUCGCAAGACCUCGCGCGAUUGGAGCGGCCGAUAUCAGAUUAGGUAGUUGGUGAGGUAAAGGCUCACCAAGCCGACGGUCUGUAGCUGGUCUGAGAGGACGACCAGCCACACUGGGACUGAGACACGGCCCAGACUCCUACGGGAGGCAGCAGUGGGGAAUUUUGGACAAUGAGCGCAAGCCUGAUCCAGCCAUGCCGCGUGCGGGAAGAAGGCCUUCGGGUUGUAAACCGCUUUUGUCAGGGAAGAAAAGGUUCUGGCUAAUACCUGGGACUCAUGACGGUACCUGAAGAAUGAGCACCGGCUAACUACGUGCCAGCAGCCGCCGUAAUAC